ACACGUGGUAUCCUGUCUGAAUAUGGGGGGACCAUCCUCCAAGGCUAAAUACUCCUGACUGACCGAUAGUGAACCAGUACCGUGAGGGAAAGGCGAAAAGAACCCCGGCGAGGGGAGUGAAAAAGAACCUGAAACCGUGUACGUACAAGCAGUGGGAGCACCUUCGGGUGUGACUGCGUACCUUUUGUAUAAUGGGUCAGCGACUUAUAUUCUGUAGCAAGGUUAACCGUAUAGGGGAGCCGCAGGGAAACCGAGUCUUAACUGGGCGUUAAGUUGCAGGGUAUAGACCCGAAACCCGGUGAUCUAGCCAUGGGCAGGUUGAAGGUUGGGUAACACUAACUGGAGGACCGAACCGACUAAUGUUGAAAAAUUAGCGGAUGACUUGUGGCUGGGGGUGAAAGGCCAAUCAAACCGGGAGAUAGCUGGUUCUCCCCGAAAGCUAUUUAGGUAGCGCCUCGUGAACUCAUCUUCGGGGGUAGAGCACUGUUUCGGCUAGGGGGUCAUCCCGACUUACCAACCCGAUGCAAACUACGAAUACCGAAGAAUGUUAUCACGGGAGACACACGGCGGGUGCUAACGUCCGUCGUGAAGAGGGAAACAACCCAGACCGCCAGCUAAGGUCCCAAAGUCAUGGUUAAGUGGGAAACGAUGUGGGAAGGCACAGACAGCCAGGAUGUUGGCUUAGAAGCAGCCAUCAUUUAAAGAAAGCGUAAUAGCUCACUGGUCGAGUCGGCCUGCGCGGAAGAUGUAACGGGGCUAAACCAUGCACCGAAGCUGCGGCAGCGACACUAUGUGUUGUUGGGUAGGGGAGCGUUCUGUAAGCCUGCGAAGGUGACCUGUGAGGGUUGCUGGAGGUAUCAGAAGUGCGAAUGCUGACAUAAGUAACGAUAAAGCGGGUGAAAAGCCCGCUCGCCGGAAGACCAAGGGUUCCUGUCCAACGUUAAUCGGGGCAGGGUGAGUCGACCCCUAAGGCGAGGCCGAAAGGCGUAGUCGAUGGGAAACAGGUUAAUAUUCCUGUACUUGGUGUUACUGCGAAGGGGGGACGGAGAAGGCUAUGUUAGCCGGGCGACGGUUGUCCCGGUUUAAGCAUGUAGGCUGGUUGUCCAGGCAAAUCCGGAUAAUCAAGGCUGAGGUGUGAUGACGAGGCACUACGGUGCUGAAGUAACAAAUGCCCUGCUUCCAGGAAAAGCCUCUAAGCAUCAGGUAACAUUAAAUCGUACCCCAAACCGACACAGGUGGUCAGGUAGAGAAUACCAAGGCGCUUGAGAGAACUCGGGUGAAGGAACUAGGCAAAAUGGUGCCGUAACUUCGGGAGAAGGCACGCUGGUGUGUAGGUGAAGUCCCUGCGGAUGGAGCUGAGACCAGUCGAAGAUACCAGCUGGCUGCAACUGUUUAUUAAAAACACAGCACUGUGCAAACACGAAAGUGGACGUAUACGGUGUGACGCCUGCCCGGUGCCGGAAGGUUAAUUGAUGGGGUUAUCCGUAAGGAGAAGCUCUUGAUCGAAGCCCCGGUAAACGGCGGCCGUAACUAUAACGGUCCUAAGGUAGCGAAAUUCCUUGUCGGGUAAGUUCCGACCUGCACGAAUGGCGUAAUGAUGGCCAGGCUGUCUCCACCCGAGACUCAGUGAAAUUGAACUCGCUGUGAAGAUGCAGUGUACCCGCGGCAAGACGGAAAGACCCCGUGAACCUUUACUAUAGCUUGACACUGAACAUUGAGCCUUGAUGUGUAGGAUAGGUGGGAGGCUUUGAAGCGUGGACGCCAGUCUGCGUGGAGCCAACCUUGAAAUACCACCCUUUAAUGUUUGAUGUUCUAACGUUGGCCCCUGACCGGGGUUGCGGACAGUGUCUGGUGGGUAGUUUGACUGGGGCGGUCUCCUCCCAAAGCGUAACGGAGGAGCACGAAGGUUAGCUAAUCCUGGUCGGACAUCAGGAGGUUAGUGCAAUGGCAUAAGCUAGCUUGACUGCGAGCGUGACGGCGCGAGCAGGUGCGAAAGCAGGUCAUAGUGAUCCGGUGGUUCUGAAUGGAAGGGCCAUCGCUCAACGGAUAAAAGGUACUCCGGGGAUAACAGGCUGAUACCGCCCAAGAGUUCAUAUCGACGGCGGUGUUUGGCACCUCGAUGUCGGCUCAUCACAUCCUGGGGCUGAAGUAGGUCCCAAGGGUAUGGCUGUUCGCCAUUUAAAGUGGUACGCGAGCUGGGUUUAGAACGUCGUGAGACAGUUCGGUCCCUAUCUGCCGUGGGCGCUGGAGAAUUGAGGGGGGCUGCUCCUAGUACGAGAGGACCGGAGUGGACGCAUCACUGGUGUUCGGGUUGUCAUGCCAAUGGCACUGCCCGGUAGCUAAAUGCGGAAGAGAUAAGUGCUGAAAGCAUCUAAGCACGAAACUUGCCCCGAGAUGAGUUCUCCCUGAGACUUUAA
rnacentral:rRNA from 1 species